rnacentral:rRNA from 1 species
GGGUUGUGAGGUUAAGCGAAUAAGCGUACACGGUGGAUGCCUAGGCAAUCAGAGGCGAUGAAGGACGUGCUAAUCUGCGAAAAGCGUCGGUAAGGUGAUAUGAACCGUUAUACCCGACGAUAUCCGAAUGGGGAAACCCAGUAUCCAAUGGAUACUAUCAUUAACUGAAUCCAUAGGUUAAUGAGGCGAACCGGGAGAACUGAAACAUCUCAGUACCCCGAGGAAAAGAAAUCAACCGAGAUUCCCCUAGUAGCGGCGAGCGAACGGGGAGCAGCCCAGAGUCUUAAUCAAUAGCAGUGUCAGGAGAACGGUCUGGAAAGUCCGGCAGUAAAGGGUGAUAGCCCCGUAUCUGAAGAUGCUGUUAUUGUGAACUCGACGAGUAGGGCGGGACACGUGUUAUCCUGUCUGAAUAUGGGGGGACCAUCCUCCAAGGCUAAAUACUCCUGAUUGACCGAUAGUGAACCAGUACCGUGAGGGAAAGGCGAAAAGAACCCCGGCGAGGGGAGUGAAAAAGAACCUGAAACCGUGUACGUACAAGCAGUAGGAGCCUCUUUAUGGGGUGACUGCGUACCUUUUGUAUAAUGGGUCAGCGACUUAUAUUCUGUAGCAAGGUUAACCGUAUAGGGGAGCCGUAGGGAAACCGAGUCUUAACUGGGCGAAUGAGUUGCAGGGUAUAGACCCGAAACCCGGUGAUCUAUCCAUGGGCAGGUUGAAGGUUGGGUAACACUAACUGGAGGACCGAACCGACUAAUGUUGAAAAAUUAGCGGAUGACUUGUGGAUGGGGGUGAAAGGCCAAUCAAACCGGGAGAUAGCUGGUUCUCCCCGAAAGCUAUUUAGGUAGCGCCUCGUGAACUCAUCUUCGGGGGUAGAGCACUGUUUCGACUAGGGGGUCAUCCCGACUUACCAACUCGAUGCAAACUGCGAAUACCGAAGAAUGUUAUCACGGGAGACACACGGCGGGUGCUAACGUCCGUCGUGAAGAGGGAAACAACCCAGACCGCCAGCUAAGGUCCCAAAGUCAUGGUUAAGUGGGAAACGAAGUGGGAAGGCUCAGACAGCCAGGAUGUUGGCUUAGAAGCAGCCAUCAUUUAAAGAAAGCGUAAUAGCUCACUGGUCGAGUCGGCCCGCGCGGAAGAUGUAACGGGGCUAAACCAUGCACCGAAGCUGCGGCAGCGACACAAAGUGUUGUUGGGUAGGGGAGCGUUCUGUAAGCCUGCGAAGGUGUACUGUGAGGUAUGCUGGAGGUAUCAGAAGUGCGAAUGCUGACAUAAGUAACGAUAAUGCGGGUGAAAAACCCGCACGCCGGAAGACCAAGGGUUCCUGUCCAACGUUAAUCGGGGCAGGGUGAGUCGACCCCUAAGGCGAGGCUGAAAAGCGUAGUCGAUGGGAAACGGGUUAAUAUUCCCGUACUGGUGGUAACUGCGAUGGGGGAACGGAGAAGGCUAGGUUGUCCGGGCGACGGUCGUCCCGGUUCAAGCAGGUAGGCAGAGUGAUUAGGCAAAUCCGGUCACUUAAUGCUGAGAUGUGAUGACGAACCACUAAGGUGGUGAAGCAAUUGAUGCCCCGCUUCCAGGAAAAGCCUCUAAGCUUCAGGUUACCAACAAUCGUACCCCAAACCGACACAGGUGGUCAGGUAGAGAAUACUCAGGCGCUUGAGAGAACUCGGGUGAAGGAACUAGGCAAAAUGGUGCCGUAACUUCGGGAGAAGGCACGCUGGCGGUAGGUAAAGUCCCUUGCGGACGGCGCCCAAGCCAGUCGAAGAUACCAGCUGGCUGCAACUGUUUAUUAAAAACACAGCACUGUGCAAACACGAAAGUGGACGUAUACGGUGUGACGCCUGCCCGGUGCUGGAAGGUUAAUUGAUGGGGUCAGCCGCAAGGCGAAGCUCCUGAUCGAAGCCCCAGUAAACGGCGGCCGUAACUAUAACGGUCCUAAGGUAGCGAAAUUCCUUGUCGGGUAAGUUCCGACCUGCACGAAUGGCGUAAUGAUGGCCAGGCUGUCUCCACCCGAGACUCAGUGAAAUUGAACUCGCUGUGAAGAUGCAGUGUACCCGCGGCAAGACGGAAAGACCCCGUGAACCUUUACUAUAGCUUGACACUGAACAUUGAGCCUUGAUGUGUAGGAUAGGUGGGAGGCUUUGAAGUGUGGACGCCAGUCUGCAUGGAGCCAACCUUGAAAUACCACCCUUUAACGUUUGAUGUUCUAACCUAGGCCCAUAAACUGGGUCGGGGACCGUGUCUGGUGGGUAGUUUGACUGGGGCGGUCUCCUCCUAAAGAGUAACGGAGGAGCACGAAGGUUGGCUAAGCAUGGUCGGACAUCAUGCGGUUAGUGCAAAGGCAUAAGCCAGCUUGACUGCGAGAGUGACGGCUCGAGCAGGUACGAAAGUAGGUCUUAGUGAUCCGGUGGUUCUGAAUGGAAGGGCCAUCGCUCAACGGAUAAAAGGUACUCCGGGGAUAACAGGCUGAUACCGCCCAAGAGUUCAUAUCGACGGCGGUGUUUGGCACCUCGAUGUCGGCUCAUCACAUCCUGGGGCUGAAGUAGGUCCCAAGGGUAUGGCUGUUCGCCAUUUAAAGUGGUACGCGAGCUGGGUUUAGAACGUCGUGAGACAGUUCGGUCCCUAUCUGCCGUGGGCGUUGGAAGAUUGAGAGGGGUUGCUCCUAGUACGAGAGGACCGGAGUGAACGCACCACUGGUGUUCGGGUUGUCAUGCCAAUGGCAUUGCCCGGUAGCUAAGUGCGGAAGAGAUAACCGCUGAAAGCAUCUAAGCGGGAAACUUGCCUCGAGAUGAGUCUUCCCUGUCGCUUUAAGCGACCUAAAGGAACGUUUAAGACUAAGACGUUGAUAGGCUGGGUGUGUAAGCGUAGCGAUACGUUGAGCUAACCAGUACUAAUGAACCGUGAGGCUUAACCUGACAACACCGAAAGUGUUUUG